AGAGUUUGAUCCUGGCUCAGGACGAACGCUGGCGGCGCGCCUAACACAUGCAAGUCGAACGGAGCUUAGAGAGCUUGCUUUUUAAGCUUAGUGGCGAACGGGUGAGUAACGCGUGAGUAACCUGCCCUAGAGUGGGGGACAACAGUUGGAAACGACUGCUAAUACCGCAUAAGCCCACGGUACCGCAUGGUACUGAGGGAAAAGGAUUUAUUCGCUUUAGGAUGGACUCGCGUCCAAUUAGCUAGUUGGUGAGGUAACGGCCCACCAAGGCGACGAUUGGUAGCCGGACUGAGAGGUUGAACGGCCACAUUGGGACUGAGACACGGCCCAGACUCCUACGGGAGGCAGCAGUGGGGGAUAUUGCACAAUGGGGGAAACCCUGAUGCAGCGACGCCGCGUGGAGGAAGAAGGUCUUCGGAUUGUAAACUCCUGUUGUUGAGGAAGAUAAUGACGGUACUCAACAAGGAAGUGACGGCUAACUACGUGCCAGCAGCCGCGGUAAAACGUAGGUCACAAGCGUUGUCCGGAAUUACUGGGUGUAAAGGGAGCGCAGGCGGGAAGACAAGUUGGAAGUGAAAUCUAUGGGCUCAACCCAUAAACUGCUUUCAAAACUGUUUUUCUUGAGUAGUGCAGAGGUAGGCGGAAUUCCCGGUGUAGCGGUGGAAUGCGUAGAUAUCGGGAGGAACACCAGUGGCGAAGGCGGCCUACUGGGCACCAACUGACGCUGAGGCUCGAAAGUGUGGGUAGCAAACAGGAUUAGAUACCCUGGUAGUCCACACCGUAAACGAUGAUUACUAGGUGUUGGAGGAUUGACCCCUUCAGUGCCGCAGUUAACACAAUAAGUAAUCCACCUGGGGAGUACGACCGCAAGGUUGAAACUCAA
rnacentral:rRNA from 1 species